GGGGAUGUAGCUCAGUUGGGAGAGCGCUUGACUGGCAGUCAAGAGGUCGACGGUUCGAUCCCGUUCAUCUCCACCA
rnacentral:tRNA from 1 species